UCAGUGGUAGCAGGUUUGUUGUUGCAUUGCAUUAGUAGGACUUGGCUUGAUCUUCCAAAAUGCUCAUGGUGCAUUGAUGCUGGCAUUACAGGUUGGUCUUUGAAUUAACUUGUCUGUUUUUACCAUCCUCUAUGGUAGCAGGUUUGUUGUUGCAUUGCAUUAGUAGGACUUGGCUUGAUCUUCCAAAAUGCUCAUGGUGCAUUGAUGCUGGCAUUACAGGUUGGUCUUUGAAUUAACUUGUCUGUUUUUACCAUCCUCUAGCCAAAUGUUCAAAUUCAGUUUGGUUAUAACUGACCUUAAAAACACCUUGAUGCAAUCUUGGAACAGGUUUGGUUGGUUUCUACUGCUAUGACCAGUUGCCUUGCUAGCAGGAUUUAGGAACUCCCUCAGGUGGCAGCAGGUUUUGUAUUAUAUUUGGUUCAUGGCAUUACGACAAGUGUGUUACAGGUAUGUUGUUGCAGGGUCACAUUCCAUUAAUUGAUUGUGACCUUGUCAAUCCCUUAUAUGUGGUGCCUGACUGCAAGAUAUUC
rnacentral:lncRNA from 1 species